UCCACAGAGCUAAGAAACAGAGAUCUGGGUAGAAGCUUUGGGCACCAGUGGACAGAUGUUAGGGAGGAGUGUGACCAGAAGAAUGUCAUUACUGUCCCCCGUGGCAUAUCUCUUCUCUUCAUAGGUUGUGUCUGUGUAUUCCAGGAACAGGGAGAUGGCGUGAUCCAGCUUCAAGAGGUAGAGGGUAACAAAAGUCACAGUGAGAUCAUAAUUGCAUGACUUCACCUCUUCUAGGGAAGCCUCCAUCUCUACACCUAAUAAGAGAACAGGAACAGGCCGAGGCCUCCUGACAGGAACAGACAGGAGACUCUAGAAAAUGCUGAAGAGGAUCUACCUCCUAGAACCAGGCCUAACUCUUCAAUGUGUGCCAACCUGGGACUCUUCCCACUUAGCAGCCCAACCUUCUACUCACUCCAUGGAUAUCCCAAUACCCCAGAGUCUUGGGCAUGUUUUCUGUCCUCUCCUUGGAGACUGAGCAGACAGGCUUCAGUCUGGGUGAUUUCACUUUCAGGUACCAGUGCACAGGGGGCAGUGUCUGUCUGCAUGCAGUUCCUGAGCCCUCCCUACCCGACUCCCAAAUGGUCCAACCGUCAUGGCCUAAAGCCCAACAUAUCCGACAAUGGCGGGAGAUGGUAGCACCCAGCAAUUGUGCAAGAAGGCAAGUGGAAAAGGAACAAACUGUGUGUGUGCCUUCUGUCUGAGGAUUCAAGGGAAGCCUGGUCACUUCCUGGAGCUAAAGAGUAUGUGAGACCACAGAGAGGAAAGACAAGAAAGUCCAAGUGAUAUGAAGUUUUCCCAAGACUUGCAGGAAGAACAAAGCUUGGAAAUUUGACUAUACAUGUACAGAUAAUCUUAAUUUACUACACUGUGCCACAUACAUACUUUGAAUCAAAUUCUUAUUACAAAAUACAAGUUGAAAAGGG